UUUAUGGAGAGUUUGAUCCUGGCUCAGGAUGAACGCUGGCGGCGUGCCUAAUACAUGCAAGUCGAGCGAACUGACGAG
rnacentral:rRNA from 1 species